GAUGAACGCUAGCGGCAGGCCUAAUACAUGCAAGUCGAGGGGCAGCACGAUUUUCGGAUUGGUGGCGACCGGCGAACGGGUGCGUAACGCGUAUGCAAUUUGCCCUAUACUUGAGGAUAGCCCGGGGAAACCCGGAUUAAUACUUUAUGGUGUUUUUAAGAGGCAUCUCUUUUCAACUAAAGGUAACGGUAUAGGAUGAGCAUGCGUCUGAUUAGCUUGUUGGUGAGGUAACGGCUCACCAAGGCGAUGAUCAGUAGGGGUUCUGAGAGGAUGAUCCCCCACACUGGCACUGAGAUACGGGCCAGACUCCUACGGGAGGCAGCAGUAAGGAAUAUUGGUCAAUGGGCGAAAGCCUGAACCAGCCAUGCCGCGUGCAGGAUGACGGCCUUCUGGGUUGUAAACUGCUUUUAUACGGGAAGAAAAAGUCUUUGCGAAGAAAAUUGCCGGUACCGUAUGAAUAAGCACCGGCUAACUCCGUGCCAGCCGCCGCCGUAACAC
rnacentral:rRNA from 1 species